rnacentral:rRNA from 1 species
CGGGGUGCACCAGGCGCGAAAACUUUCCAAUGCACGCAAGUGUGAGAAGGGGAUACUCAGUGCUUACGCUUCUGGCGUAGGCUUUUGUCGAGUGUAGACAACUCGGCGAAUAAGUGGUGGGCAAGACCGGUGCCAGCCGCCGCGGUAACACCGGCGCCACGAGUGGUCAUCACGAUUAUUGGGCCUAAAGCGUUCGUAGCCGGUUUGGUGCAUCCCUUGUGAAAUCGUUCGGCUUAACCGAACGGCGUGCAGGGGACACGACCAAACUCGAGACUGGGAGGGGACAGAAGUAUUCCAUGGGGACCGGUUAAAUGGGAUAAUCCAUGGAGGACUACCGAUGGCGAAGGCAUCUGUCCAGAACAGAUCUGACGGUGAGGAACGAAAGCCAGGGGAGCGAACCGGAUUAGAUACCCGAGUAGUCCUGGCCGUAAACGCUGUGAGCUAGGUGUCGCGCGUCCCACGUGGACGCGCGGUGUCGAAACGAAGGUGCUAAGCUCACCGCCUGGGAAGUACGGUCGCAAGACUGAAACUUUAAGGAAUUGGCGGGGGAGCAC